rnacentral:rRNA from 1 species
UACGAGGGGAGCAAGUGUUGUUCGGAUUUACUGGGUGUAAAGGGAGCGCAGGCGGUCUUGUAAGUCAGAGGUGAAAUGUCCAUGCUUAACAUGGUCACUGCCUUUGAAACUGCUUGACUUGAGUAUUGGAGAGGGUAAUGGAAUUCCAGGUGUAGCGGUGGAAUGCGUAGAUAUCUGGAAGAACACCAGUUGCGAAGGCGAUUACCUGGCCAAGUACUGACGCUCAUGCUCGAAAGCUGGGGGAG